rnacentral:lncRNA from 1 species
GGUAAAUGGCAAGAAGGUGAAACUGUGAGUGUAGGGGUGGGGAGACGUGGUGGAAUCUGAAUAUAUCUUGGGAUUUCCUCUUCCCCUGCCAGUGGUAAAGCAGGAGCUGAGGAGAGCUGGCCUUACAUGGAGGACAUAGGACUGGGUUAAAGACAUAUUCCCCUUUCUUCUGGAAUAUGCAAUGUCCCAAGGGAAUUGUUUUGAUGUCAUUACUAUUAUUACUCAUUUAUUACAGAUGAGGAAAUUGAGGCACAGAAAAGUCCAGUAACACACUCAAGGUCACUCUGCCGGACUCUGGAACUCACCAUAAAGCGUCGAAGCCUCCUGCCUUGCCGAGACCUCACCCACCACUUGGAAUAGAGUGGGGUCCAAAAAGAGAUGCCAACGUGCUGGAGUCCUGACAAGCAAGGACAUUUGGAACCUGGAGGCGGAAGCCACAGGAGGAGGCAGAAGAGGCAGGCGGCCACGUGAUGGUGGCCUGAUGUCAGACAUUCUGCUCAGGCCUGGAUUUGGGACUUCCAGCCUCCAAAACAGGAACCAGUGAGUUCCUGAGAAGCCAGGCAGUGUGUGGCGUUUGUCGUUGCAGCCCCGGCAAACUAAGGCAAUAUACUAAAAGAAAAAUUUUUACACACUUUUAUUUACAUAACUGUGGGCAGAGCACAGUGAGAAGGUCAGUUUUUAGGGCAUUCCUUAUCGCUUAGCGAUGAAUUCGGUGCUUUGUAUGUGAGAAAUAAAAUAUUUAUCAAC